GGUUUCGUGGCGCAAUGGCAGCGCGUUACUUUCCGGUUGUUCCAACUACCUGGUAAAGGUUCUGGGUUCGAAUCCCAGCGAGAUCG